rnacentral:misc_RNA from 1 species
AUUUACUUGUAUAGACAAGGCAAGAGCCCUGAAGCAACAGUAUUCCAAGAAGUUCCUUGCAUACUGAGAUUUAUGCUUUAUGGAUUCAGAAGCCUCGGCCUCAAAGUUUUCUUGAAGUUGACUCAUGGAAAUACCAAAGAUUUUUGAGCAUUUUCGGAUAACUACAUUUGCAGCAGGGGAUAGCUCUGGCAACCAACUCUUGCCAGUGGAUGAAGACCCCAUCUCAUCUGAAUCUUCAUCACAUGAACUCGGGGUUUUAGUCAACCAUUUAAACGACCCCUCUUUAACCAGACCCUCCAGCAUAGUUCUGGUUUUACUAACCAUUGCUAUUCAAAAAACCUCCUCCUCAGAUCAUUAACCAACAGGAAUCACCCACUUAAAUCCUUACACAAACCACUGUAAAAUCAAUGGCAGAAGUGUGAAUGAGAAAUAGGGAAAGUUAGUUGUGCGAAAUCGGGCAGUGUAAAAGCAGAUAUUGAGGUCCACCGACUCAUAUAUUAGUA